rnacentral:rRNA from 1 species
UGGAGGGCAAGUCUGGUGCCAGCAGCCGCGGUAAUUCCAGCACCAAUAGCGUAUAUUAAAGUUGUUGCAGUUAAAAAGCUCGUAGUUGAAUUUCGGGGUUCUUCCGUUGGUCAGGCUAACAAGUCUGUACUAGCGUGUAGAAUCUCUACCUUCUGGGGAACCAUCAUGUUAUUAAUUUAGCGUGGUGGGAAACCAGGACCUUUACCUUGAAAAAAUUAGAGUGUUCAAAGCAGGCUUAUGUCUGAAUACAUUAGCAUGGAAUAAUAGAAUAGGACGGUGGUCCUGUUUUGUUGGUUUCUGAAUCACCGUAAUGAUUAAUAGGGAUAGUUGGGGGCAUUAGUAUUCAAUUGUCAGAGGUGAAAUUCUUGGAUUUAUUGAAGACUAACUUCUGCGAAAGCAUUUGCCAAGGAUGUUUUCAUUAAUCAAGAACGAAAGUUAGGGGAUCGAAGACGAUCAGAUACCGUCGUAGUCUUAACCAUAAACUAUGCCGACUGGGGAUCGGACGAUGUUAAAUUUUAUUGACUCGUUCGGCGCCUUACGGGAAAC